rnacentral:rRNA from 1 species
UACGAAGGGGGCUAGCGUUGCUCGGAAUCACUGGGCGUAAAGGGCGCGUAGGCGGCGCUUCAAGUCGCAUGUGAAGGACCAGGGCUUAACCUUGGGGGGGUCAUGCGAAACUGGAGUGCUUGAGUGCAGUAGAGGUAAGCGGAAUUCCUGGUGUAGCGGUAAAAUGCGUAGAGAUCAGGAGGAACACCGGUGGCGAAGGCGGCUUACUGGGCUGUAACUGACGCUGGAGGCGCGAAAGCGUGGGGGAUCAAACAGG